rnacentral:rRNA from 1 species
UACGUAGGGUGCAAGCGUUAAUCGGAAUUACUGGGCGUAAAGCGUGCGCAGGCGGUUUUGUAAGUCUGUCGUGAAAUCCCCGGGCUUAACCUGGGAAUUGCGAUGGAGACUGCACAGCUGGAGUGCGGCAGAGGGGGAUGGAAUUCCGCGUGUAGCAGUGAAAUGCGUAGAUAUGCGGAGGAACACCGAUGGCGAAGGCAAUCCCCUGGGCCUGCACUGACGCUCAUGCACGAAAGCGUGGGGAGCAAACAGG